rnacentral:rRNA from 1 species
UACGUAGGCAGCAAGCGUUGUUCGGAUUCAUUGGGCGUAAAGGGUGCGUAGGUGGCGCGGUAAGUCGGGUGUGAAAUUUCGGAGCUUAACUCCGAAACUGCAUUCGAUACUGCCGUGCUUGAGGACUGGAGAGGAGACUGGAAUUUACGGUGUAGCAGUGAAAUGCGUAGAGAUCGUAAGGAAGACCAGUGGCGAAGGCGGGUCUCUGGACAGUUCCUGACACUGAGGCACGAAGGCCAGGGGAGCAAACGGG